rnacentral:rRNA from 1 species
GGUCAAUACUGGCAGUCGAGCGAGCUUGCCUAGAUGAUUUUAGUUGCUUGCACUAAAUGAAACUAGAUACAAGCGAGCGGCGGACGGGUGAGUAACACGUGGGUAACCUGCCCAAGAGACUGGGAUAACACCUGGAAACAGAUGCUAAUACCGGAUAACAACACUAGACGCAUGUCUAGAGUUUGAAAGAUGGUUCUGCUAUCACUCUUGGAUGGACCUGCGGUGCAUUAGCUAGUUGGUAAGGUAACGGCUUACCAAGGCAAUGAUGCAUAGCCGAGUUGAGAGACUGAUCGGCCGCAUUGGGACUGAGACACGGCCCAAACUCCUACGGGAGGCAGCAGUAGGGAAUCUUCCACAAUGGACGAAAGUCUGAUGGAGCAACGCCGCGCGAGUGAAGAAGGGUUUCGGCUCGUAAAGCUCUGUUGGUAGUGAAGAAAGAUAGAGGUAGUAACUGGCCUUUAUUUGACGGUAAUUACUUAGAAAGUCACGGCUAACUACGUGCCAGCAGCCGCGGUAAUACGUAGGUGGCAAGCGUUGUCCGGAUUUAUUGGGCGUAAAGCGAGUGCAGGCGGUUCAAUAAGUCUGAUGUGAAAGCCUUCGGCUCAACCGGAGAAUUGCAUCAGAAACUGUUGAACUUGAGUGCAGAAGAGGAGAGUGGAACUCCAUGUGUAGCGGUUGAAUGCGUAGAUAUAUGGAAGAACACCAGUGGCGAAGGCGGCUCUCUGGUCUGCAACUGACGCUGAGGCUCGA